rnacentral:rRNA from 1 species
AGCUCAGCCAACUGUUGGAUAUGUUGGUUCAAGCCUGUAGUCUUGCCUGGUAGGCAAAUCCGCCGGGCUUAGAUGAGGGGUGAUAACGAGUCUGCUUGCAGACGAAGUGAGUGAUACCCUGCUUCCAGGAAAAGCCACUAAGCUUCAGCUAUUGACGACCGUACCGCAAACCGACACUGGUGCGCGAGAUGAGUAUUCUAAGGCGCUUGAGAGAACUCUGGAGAAGGAACUCGGCAAAUUGAUACCGUAACUUCGGGAGAAGGUAUGCCCCAAGUAGGUGAACCUGUACAAGGCGAGCCCAAAGGGGUUGCAAAAAAUCGGUGGCUGCGACUGUUUAAUAAAAACACAGCACUCUGCAAACACGAAAGUGGACGUAUAGGGUGUGACGCCUGCCCGGUGCUGGAAGAUUAAAUGAUGGGGUGCAAGCUCUUGAUUGAAGUCCCAGUAAACGGCGGCCGUAACAAUAACGGUCCUAAGGUAGCGAAAUUCCUUGUCGGGUAAGUUCCGACCUGCACGAAUGGCGUAACGAUGGCCACACUGUCUCCUCCAGAGACUCAGCGAAGUUGAAAUGUUUGUGAUGAUGCAAUCUACCCGCGGAAAGACGGAAAGACCCCAUGAACCUUUACUGUAGCUUUGUAUUGGACUUUGAACAGAUCUGUGUAGGAUAGGUGGGAGGCUUUGAAGCGUGGUCGCUAGAUCAUGUGGAGCCAACGUUGAAAUACCACCCUGGUGUGUUUGAGGUUCUAACCUAGGUCCAUUAUCUGGAUCGGGGACAGUGCAUGGUAGGCAGUUUGACUGGGGCGGUCUCCUCCCAAAGCGUAACGGAGGAGUUCGAAGGUACGCUAGUUACGGUCGGACAUCGUGACGAUAGUGCAAUGGCAUAAGCGUGCUUAACUGCGAGACUGACAAGUCGAGCAGAUGCGAAAGCAGGACAUAGUGAUCCGGUGGUUCUGUAUGGAAGGGCCAUCGCUCAACGGAUAAAAGGUACUCUGGGGAUAACAGGCUGAUACCGCCCAAGAGUUCAUAUCGACGGCGGUGUUUGGCACCUCGAUGUCGGCUCAUCUCAUCCUGGGGCUGUAGCCGGUCCCAAGGGUAUGGCUGUUCGCCAUUUAAAGAGGUACGUGAGCUGGGUUUAAAACGUCGUGAGACAGUUUGGUCCCUAUCUUCCGUGGGCGCUGCAGAUUUGAGGAAGCCUGCUCCUAGUACGAGAGGACCGGAGUGGACACACCUCUGGUGUACCGGUUGUCACGCCAGUGGCAUCGCCGGGUAGCUAAGUGUGGAAGAGAUAACCGCUGAAAGCAUCUAAGCGGGAAACUCGUUUCAAGAUGAGAUCUGCCGGGGGCUCGACCCCCCUGAAGAGUCGUUCUAGACCAGGACGUUGAUAGGCUGGGUGUGGAAGCGCAGCAAUGCGUUAAGCUAACCAGUACUAAUUGCUCGUGCGGCUUGAUC